rnacentral:lncRNA from 1 species
UCUCUUUCGGGUACCCAAGUUAUUUUGGGUCCCUUCUUAUUAGUAACCAAGGGAUCUUUCCCCUUCUUUAUCUAAACAUAUUUGCCACUUGGCACACCAAAUUUUCUAAUAAAUCAUGUAGUGCAUGUGUGACCAUGUGUACCACAAUAGAAACAAGUAGGCAUGUUAUUAUUUGACUUCUUAUGCAUAUGAACUACUGGAUUUCUA